rnacentral:rRNA from 1 species
AUUGAACGCUGGCGGCAUGCUUUACACAUGCAAGUCGAACGGCGGCGCGGGGCAACCUGGCGGCGAGUGGCGAACGGGUGAGUAAUACAUCGGAACGUACCCAGAAGUGGGGAUAACGUAGCGAAAGUUACGCUAGUACCGCAUACGACCUAAGGGUGAAAGUGGGGGACCCGCAAGGCCUCAUGCUUUGGAGCGGCCGAUGUCUGAUUAGCUAGUUGGUGAGGUAAAGGCUCACCAAGGCGACGAUCAGUAGCUGGUCUGAGAGGACGACCAGCCACACUGGGACUGAGACACGGCCCAGACUCCUACGGGAGGCAGCAGUGGGGAAUUUUGGACCAAAUGGGGGGCGAAACCCUGAUCCAGCAAUGCCGCGUGAAGUGAAGAAGGCCUGUG